AGGGUACACAGGGAUAAUGAUGUAUCCUUAUGGAUAAGAGCGGUAAGAUGGGAUCUCAAAUGGUGAGUGACCUUUGCCGAACAUUUGUAGUAAUACUCCAGACAAUUGCCUAUUCAGGCGGCUGGGUAAUAAUUUCAAAAUGUAUAUAAUAGAUUGAGAGAUUUUAUUGAACUAUUUUGAUGUGCACGGGCAAUGGACCUUUUAACGUUAAAUGUUGUGUUAUAAAAUAAUAUUUUAUAUAUUGUUGUGGAAAAAAUUUUAGUUGUAU
rnacentral:lncRNA from 1 species